GAUAUUUGAUUUGCUUCGUAGUCGCUAAUUUUCAUAAGAGUUUUAUUAAUAUUAUCAUUGUUAUUGUGUUUUAAUGAAACGAUUUUGUGUCGCGCUGUGCAUUCCAAUCGAAGAUGGACAGAAUAGAGGUACACGCAAUUGCAAAAAAAAAACGAGGCGUACAAUGUAACGAGGUGGCUUCGCCGCAAUAAAAAUGGAACAGACACAUGACACGCGAAGCGGAACGAAACGAGAAACGGAAGCGACGGUAGGGAUUAUUUAUUUUGCACGGCGACCGCAAUCCGCGGGGAUAUUUUCCACGAGACGUCCGACCAAACUGUCUGGAAAACGAGGAAAAAUUACAUCGGCGAAAAAUAAUAGACUGCGAUCCAGCUUCGGCAGUAAGGCUGUAAGCGGCUGUAUGCACCUAUAUGCGGCAUGCACUUUUAUCGAGAUAAGAUUGACGCACAUGUGAUAAAAGGAGGCUCAAUUAUUUAUGACGUCGACUAGUGAAUGAUGAAUUUAAAUGACAUUUAAAUGACUGUAUACAUCUUUUUUAUUUUUUUUACAUUUUCUAAUAUAUGAUCAAAAAUCGAGGACAUAAAUAUCUUGUGCAAGGUAUGCCACCAUAAUUUGGUAUUAAUUAAAUUUUGGAAAGUUUCGUCAAUGACGAUGAGUCAAAUUUUGAAGCGAAAUCUCUCGGAUAUUUUUAUUGCGCAAGAGAAGCAUAGUAAUUCCAGACUCCGUGAUCUUACCAGUUUCCUUGUCGACGUAAUAAAUGAGUAUCCGGCCAUAUUCAAGCCGCCAUCAACAUCCUGGAAACAAGGAUAUUUCGAGAGGCAUCCUGUUCACGGUAACUUAUCGCGCAACACCAUUUCACCUGUGUUUAAUUUAGCGCCCGAAAUAAUUUACAUACAGCAGGACGAUGGAGCUACGGGCUCGCUCGCGCAAUAACAUCUCGAAGAUGAGCCGUGUGCUGGGCCUGGGCGGAUGCAUCGCACGUGCAGACAUGUAUCCUGGGAGGGGGUCGUACCCACCCUCUACGAUACGUCUCCGUGCCCGACGUCGUUCCUGCCGGAGGGUUCGCAGAAUCCGACAUAACCCCCAAGGUCGUAACGGUGCUGAAAGCAGGUAUUACGCUCUAAUUCGCAACUUGCCCUCGGCUCAUCAAGGAUGUGAUUAGACGCCGCGUAGAAGACAACAGAGACAAGCGCAGAUAACACACCAGUAAACGUUCUUAUAGAUGCUGUUACUUCCAUUGAGAGUCUCUGCGCUAAGAGACAGGGUGCAACCCUGAUGUAUGGGAUACUCCUCGCGGGUGUUUCUACACGACGGCACCGUCUCAGGGAAAUGUUACCCCAUAAAAUAUAUCUCGAGCGUUGGCUUAUGCCGCGCGAAACCCAGCAAGAUGUUUCUAUUUCAUAGAAACGCUCGUCUUCCGGUUUUGCGGGGCACGUGAAGGGUAGCAUGACGGAAGGCCGGAGCGUUGAUAGGACUAGACUGUAAAUCACAUGGGAGCUAUUCGAUGUCUCGCUACGUCCCACAAUUUCGUACAACGAGUUUGCUAGCACUACUCAACGUUAUCGCACGGAUUUUCAGGGCAAACGAAGAGUUUAUACGGGCAACCGUUCACUAUACUAGCGUAUUUUUCUUUUUUUUUUUUGUAUACUUUUUUAAGAUAAUA
rnacentral:lncRNA from 1 species